ensembl:snRNA U6 U6 spliceosomal RNA
GUGCUCGCUUCAGCAGCACAUAUACUAAAAUUGAAAUGAUACAGAGAAAAUUAGCAGAGCCCCACGCAAGGAUGGCAUACACAUUUGUGAAGCCUUCUAUAGUUUU